rnacentral:lncRNA from 1 species
CUGAUGAUUUCCUGAUUGAUGGAUGAAUGUUCUGUGGGUAUUUCUAUUGCCACAUAUGCAAAAUUGGAGAACUCUAGGAUCUCAAUAAAUAUGAUGACAGGUUCCAUGUAUUCCCACCUUCAAGCAACUUCAGAAGAUCAUAAGUUGCCACUCAGGAUACGUCUUCAUUUGAAGCCCAGAUGGCCAAUUGUCAAUGAUCAAUUGAUUAAUUUUGAAGGAAAUUUUUUUUGUACAGAUAUGUGUCUGUCACCUUUAACUCUAGGAUCCUUUUCAGCUCUGGAAUUAUGUAAAACAGUUAAUUCAGGUGGGAAAAUUAGUUUGAGUGGAAGAAUGAGAUGUGAUUAAAGAGUUUAACUUGAAAAGAGGUUAAUCACAAUUUUUAAAAGUCACUAUAGCUGUUUUUUUUUUUCCAGUGACAAGAAAAAAACCACUGUGGUCUGUAGAAUUAAGGAACAAAAUGGUGGCUUCCUAUUGGAGAAUGGAUACACAAAUGGUGGAAUUUGAAUAUAAUGGAAUAUUAUUGUGCUAGAAGAAAUGAUGAAAUGAUAAUUUGAGAAAAUAGGGUAAAUCUUUAUGAACCUACACAAAACAAAGUGAGGAAAAAUUUUAAAAAUCAACUUUGAAAUUUGAUUAACAUAAUUAUAGAUGAGUCCAGACAAAUGAAGAUGAAAUAUACUGUCAUAGAAAUAUGAUCAUUUUAAGAUAUAGCAAGAAACAUGUUUAACAUGGAUAAUAGGGAGAUUUAAUAUUUACUGAAUUAUGUAAGCACAUACACACAUAUUGCUUAUUGUAAAAGAAUGGAGUUUAGAUGAACAAAAAGUAUAUGUUGCUUGACAAACGUCAAGCAUACUAUAAAAAGUGCAUUUUAUAAAGUAAAAAGAAUUACAUUGUAGAAACUAUUUGAGGAGAGGUAUUCUAGAUGUGUUAGUCAAAAUAGACCAGAAAUGGGAAAGAUAAAGCAGAAAGAGCAGUUAUGAGAAGACAGCUGCUUUAAUAUAGAUAUGAUAUGAUAAAUUAGUGGAAAGAAAGAGAAAUGUGAAUAUGUAAAGGAACAAGAAGUGUAUGAAAAGACAGUGGAUGUAGAACUUGAAACGAGAGUUUUUUACUGCUAAUUAACUAUGUUGUUUCAAAUCCAUCCCUACCACUUACCAACUACAUGAUGAUAUGAUAGGAAGUCACUUAACCACUUUUGCCCUGCCUCAGUUUCCUCCUCUUUAAAAUGAAGGUUGGACUGAGAGUUUUCUAAAAAUUACUUCUACCUUUACAUGGUUUUCAACCUCAUUACUUAGUUGAAAUGGUUCUCUUCCAAGCCACUAAUGUUUUCUUAAUCAAGAAUACUACUGGC